rnacentral:lncRNA from 1 species
CCCACACCCCGGCCGGCGCAAGCUAGACGUCUGGGCAGCUCCCAGCGCAGCGCUGCAGCCUCCGCCUCCUGCACGGUGUGCGCGCCCGCGGCCAGGGCGGCCUGAACAAGUCUUGGCGGCUGCCGCCGCCCAGACCGGACGACAAGCCACCUAGGCGUCUGCCGGAGUCUCCGCCUCAUCGCCGCCACCACCUCGGACGGCAGUCUGACUCAGUCCGGGAAUAAUUGCGGAGAACUGGAGCCACCUCCUCGGGGGCAGCAAUGCGACCCUCCAGGACCGCAGGACCCGCGCUGCUGGUGCUACUAGCUGCGCUGGUAUGGGCGAGUUGUGCGUUGGAGGAAAAGAAAGGUAAGGGCGUGCCCCUCGACCCCCCGCACCACUCUCCAGAGCGCGCUUCUUGACCCGCAGUCAGCCCCGCCCGCG